UACGUAGGGUGCUAGCGUUGUCCGGAAUCAUUGGGCGUAAAGCGCGUGUAGGCGGCUCGAUAAGUCUGCUGUGAAAGUUCAGGGCUCAACCCUGAAAUGCCGGUGGAAACUGUCGAGCUAGAGUCCGGAAGAGGUGAGUGGAAUUCCUGGUGUAGCGGUGAAAUGCGCAGAUAUCAGGAGGAACACCAAUGGCGAAGGCAGCUCACUGGGACGGUACUGACGCUGAGACGCGAAAGCGUGGGGAGCAAACAGG
rnacentral:rRNA from 1 species